UACGUAGGGUGCAAGCGUUUAAUCGGAAUUACUGGGCGUAAAGCGUGCGCAGGCGGUUGUGCAAGACAGAUGUGAAAUCCCCGGGCUCAACCUGGGAAUUGCAUUUGUGACUGCACGGCUAGAGUGUGUCAGAGGGGGGUAGAAUUCCACGUGUAGCAGUGAAAUGCGUAGAGAUGUGGAGGAAUACCGAUGGCGAAGGCAGCCCCCCUGGGGAUAACACUGACGCUCA
rnacentral:rRNA from 1 species